rnacentral:rRNA from 1 species
UACUGGGGGAGCAAGCGUUGUUCGGAUUUACUGGGCGUAAAGGGCGCGUAGGCGGCCUCCGCAAGUCAGUUGUGAAAUCUCCGAGCUUAACUCGGAAAGGUCAACUGAUACUGCGGGGCUAGAGUGCGGAAGGGGCAACUGGAAUUCUUGGUGUAGCGGUGAAAUGCGUAGAUAUCAAGAGGAACACCUGCGGCGAAGGCGGGUUGCUGGGCCGACACUGACGCUGAGGCGCGAAAGCUAGGGGAGCGAACGGG